AUUGAACGCUGGCGGCAUGCUUUACACAUGCAAGUCGAACGGACCUAGGGGCUUGCUCCUAGGUUAGUGGCGAACGGGUGAGUAAUGCAUCGGAACGUACCGUGUAAUGGGGGAUAACGCAGCGAAAGUUGUGCUAAUACCGCAUACGAUCUACGGAUGAAAGCAGGGGAUCGCAAGACCUUGCGUUAUACGAGCGGCCGAUGUCGGAUUAGCUAGUUGGUAGGUAAAGGCCUACCAAGGCAACGAUCCGUAGCGGGUCUGAGAGGAUGAUCCGCCACACUGGGACUGAGACACGGCCCAGACUCCUACGGGAGGCAGCAGUGGGGAAUUUUGGACAAUGGGCGCAAGCCUGAUCCAGCCAUGCCGCGUGAGUG
rnacentral:rRNA from 1 species